UCCAAUUAGGAUGCCUGAAAGGAAAAUAACACACCUGGGGCCAUCAUACCUACUAAGAAAUGCCACAGAUGUACCCAGGAGGAAAAAUAUAGACUUCUGGUGGAAGCCACAGAGUCCUUUCUGCAAUAGGCUGCUCUGAUGUUGAUACACUUUAAAAAUGUAGUAGUGAUAUUUUUGGGACAAGCUAUGUCUUCCUACUGAAUUAUUUGCAGUAGAAAAAAUCAUAGUUGCCUAGCCUUCCCUACCAAAAUUCUCAAAUCUGCUCUCAGAAGAUGAUUCCUGCCAAUAAGAGGAAGGCUUAAUCUUCAGGUCCCUGCUGUUUGAAAUAAUAAUGACUUGGGGCAUGGGCCAAAUUUCUGUUAGUGAAUAAAUAACAUUUCUUUAA